ensembl:antisense Gm13596 predicted gene 13596
CAGAUGAGAACACCGGCAGUGGAAAGACCGACGGCAAAGCCAUGGCCAUAAUCAGAAUAACAUCAGAAUGGAAUUGGAAGAGAUUUGAUUGCUCACUGCUGUCUCCUUGAAGAAUCUCAAACAGGAGUUCAUGCAUUAGAUAUAAAAUAAUGCUUUCUGAAGCUAUGUUGUUCAUCCUUCUCAUCUUUAGAAUCUUCCAAAUGCUGAAGAUAUCCCAAAGCCUUUACUUCAUCUCCAUUCAAAAUUACUUUCAUUCCCCCCCCCAAAAAAAGUAUUUCUCAACCUUGAUUG